rnacentral:rRNA from 1 species
CAGUCGAGCGGAACGACAACAUUGACUCUUCGGAUGAUUUGUUGGGCGUCGAGCGGCGGACGGGUGAGUAAUGCCUGGGAAAUUGCCCUGAUGUGGGGGAUAACCAUUGGAAACGAUGGCUAAUACCGCAUAAUGCCUUCGGGCCAAAGAGGGGGACCUUCGGGCCUCUCGCGUCAGGAUAUGCCCAGGUGGGAUUAGCUAGUUGGUGAGGUAAUGGCUCACCAAGGCGACGAUCCCUAGCUGGUCUGAGAGGAUGAUCAGCCACACUGGAACUGAGACACGGUCCAGACUCCUACGGGAGGCAGCAGUGGGGAAUAUUGCACAAUGGGCGCAAGCCUGAUGCAGCCAUGCCGCGUGUAUGAAGAAGGCCUUCGGGUUGUAAAGUACUUUCAGCAGUGAGGAAGGUUCAUGCGUUAAUAGCGUAUGGAUUUGACGUUAGCUGCAGAAGAAGCACCGGCUAACUCCGUGCCAGCAGCCGCGGUAAUACGGAGGGUGCGAGCGUUAAUCGGAAUUACUGGGCGUAAAGCGCAUGCAGGUGGUUCGUUAAGUCAGAUGUGAAAGCCCGAGGCUCAACCUCGGAACUGCAUUUGAAACUGGCGGACUAGAGUACUGUAGAGGGGGGUAG